rnacentral:lncRNA from 1 species
CUAAUGUUCUCUCUCUAGGCUCAGGGGGCCCUGCAAGGCAGCUCCAUGGUCCUUUCCAUUUUAUUGUAAGAGUUGGUGGAAAAUGAGAGGCGGCCAUUGUGUCUGACUGCGGAGGCAUUGUUCUUCCCCAGACGAGGCUGGCCUCUUUCUCAGCUCCCGGUUUCUGCUCCUCCAGCCAUGGCUAGCUUCUGAGGAGCAGCUGGACUAACUCAGAAUUGCCCCAAGGGUUACUUAAAACCAUGAAAAGAAAUUUUACUCUCCAAAAUGUAAAGUUACAAACUGCCCCCCAAACACCUUUUCUUGGCAGUCCCAGUUUGUACAGAACCUGUGUGUUCUGAUAGUAACGCAGCCGUGGCAACUCAACGACAAAGUGCUGGCUCGAACCUCAGCCCCCAGCCCCUAGCCCACUUUGUGAAAAGAAUUUCAUUGACCAUCAGAAUAUGUGGUGGUGGCAGUGGGGGAUAAAAUUGAAGCAGAAAAUGUCCCUUUACAUUUCAACCAUAAAACCAUCUGUUGCUGAGGACUGUGCAGAGAGAGGAUCCCUAAAUUUCGUUUGGACCUCAAAGCACCUGUGACUUCCUCUCUGAGAGGGUAAUAAGAGAGCCAGAAAAGCAGCUUUGAGUGAUUGGGGAUUACUUUUAAUGCCACUUCAGAAAUGGAAAACUGAUGAAAAACCAGUCCCUGAAGAGGAAAAAUCACAGCAAGUGGAACAUUCCCCCCAAAAUGCCUCCUGCCCAGGGUACUCUCCUCCCGCUUGUGUGACAGCCAGCAGUUGGGACAGCCUCCUUUUUCUCCUGCACCAAGUGGGGACGGUAAUACCACCUUCCAUGCAGGCCAGUUUUGAAGACUGAAUGAGAUAAUGCCUGUAGAACUACUUAGACUGGUACAAAAUAAACACAUUCACAAUGUCAACUAUUGUGCGUGCUGUCCCUGCGUGGUGACAGUACCACAGAGAGUGUUGUCCCCAUUGUAUCUGUCCAGUGCUUUGUGAGUGUGUGUUUGUUUUUAGUGGAAUGAAUUCUUUUCCUCAUUCAUGAGCAUAGAGGCUGAUAGAAAUUCCAGGCAAUCUGAUCUACCUCGAGGUCCCUCCCCUGGGCCCUCACACAAAGCCAGAAAACAUAAAUGAGUCCUUUCUCCCUGUCUGGCUUCUGGAGGCUGGCCAUAGGGCCUGAACGGCAUCCCUGCCAAGCUAACACAGGU